UCUUAUGGCAAUACCACCUUGAAGACACCCAAUCAUGUCUGAUCUCAGAAACUAAGCAGGGUUGGACCUGCUUAGUAUUUAGGAGAUAAUAUAAUUCAACUUCUCAUUUGACAGAUGGAAAAAAGUCCAGAAGAU
rnacentral:rRNA from 1 species